UAGAUACCCUAUUAUUUGAAAUGUAAUUUAUUUACUAAAGUAGUAGUAGUUAUGUUCUUGAAACUUAAAAAAUUUGGCGGUAUUUUAGUCUAUUCAGAGGAACCUGUCCUAUAAUCGAUAAUCCACGUUGGACCUUACUUAAAUUUGUUUUCAGUAUGUAUACCGUCGUUAUAAGAAUAUUUUAUAAGAAUAAUAAUUUUCUAGAUUUUUUAUAAAAAUUUAUAUCAGAUCAAGGUGCAGCUUAUAUUUAAGUAGAGAUGGGUUACAAUAAUUAUAUUUAUACGGAUUAAUUUUUGAAAUAAAAUUAUGAAGGUGGAUUUGAAAGUUAAAUUGUGAAGAUAAAURGUUUGAUUUUAGCU
rnacentral:rRNA from 1 species